UGGUGGGGUGACCUGUCUGGUUAAUUCCGAUAACGAACGAGACCUAGGCUGCUAAAUAGGGCGGUUAUCGCCAGCUAGGUGAAGCUUGGAUGGGCAACCAGAAGAGUGGAUCCUUGGUGCAUAGCUAGCAACUGCUUAUCAGGACUGCAAGCGUGUAGCUUGCGGAAGCUCUAGGCAAUAACA
rnacentral:rRNA from 1 species